rnacentral:misc_RNA from 1 species
GAUGAAGAACGCAGCGAAAUGCGAUAAGUAAUGUGAAUUGCAGAAUUCAGUGAAUCAUCGAAUCUUUGAACGCACAUUGCGCCCGCUAGUAUUCUGGCGGGCAUGCCUGUCCGAGCGUCAUUUCAACCCUCAAGCCCCCGGGCUUGGUGUUGGGGAUCGGCGAGCCUCCGCGCCCGCCGUCCCCUAAAUCUAGUGGCGGUCUCGCUGUAGCUUCCUCUGCGUAGUAGCACACCUCGCACUGGGAAUCAGCGCGGCCACGCCGUUAAACCCCCAACUUCUGAACGUUUGACCUCGGAUCAGGUAGGAAUACCCGCUGAACUUAAGCAUAUCAAUAAGCGGAGGA